GAUGAACGCUGGCGGCGUGCCUAAUACAUGCAAGUCGAGCGAACAGACGAGGAGCUUGCUCCUCUGACGUUAGCGGCGGACGGGUGAGUAACACGUGGAUAACCUACCUAUAAGACUGGGAUAACUUCGGGAAACCGGAGCUAAUACCGGAUAAUAUAUUGAACCGCAUGGUUCAAUAGUGAAAGACGGUUUUGCUGUCACUUAUAGAUGGAUCCGCGCCGCAUUAGCUAGUUGGUAAGGUAACGGCUUACCAAGGCGACGAUGCGUAGCCGACCUGAGAGGGUGAUCGGCCACACUGGAACUGAGACACGGUCCAGACUCCUACGGGAGGCAGCAGUAGGGAAUCUUCCGCAAUGGGCGAAAGCCUGACGGAGCAACGCCGCCUGAGUGAUGAAGGUCUUCGGAUCGUAAAACUCUGUUAUUAGGGAAGAACAAAUGUGUAAGUAACUAUGCACGUCUUGACGGUACCUAAUCAGAAAGCCACGGCUAACUACGUG
rnacentral:rRNA from 1 species